AAAGCAUUUCUGUUGCAUUUUUGUUCUAUAUUCAUUCUUGACAGAAAUUUCUCGUCAAUUGUCAUAAAGAUAGAACAAAAAUGCAACAGAAAUGCUUUCUCACAAAUGCAACCAAAGUUCACUACCAACUCCAGCAUUUGAGAACCUCUCUUAGCAUUACUAGGUUAAUUUAAAGGUAUACCACCACGCACGAGCAGACUAACGAAUUGGACAUUCUCUCAGCACAUAAAAAUAAAACCUAAUCAAUCUCCAUACCAGAAACGGCCUCAUCUAAAAUCUUUUUAAGUUCCUUCACUCUUUGCCUUGUUAAUGCAACACAAUCCUGAACAGCUGAUGUAUAGGCAAGAACUGGUCCACCUGGCUUGUAAAAGGACACAAGUCUAGAAGAUGAAUCCAAAACCACUGUUACAAGAGUUUCCAUGAUAGACUCUUCCUCUGCAGUAGGAUCUGCCAAGAUGUAGUUCUUGUGAAGAAUGCAUGUUAAUGAGAAUGGCAGGCUUCUCAGCGUGAGCUUCCUCUUCUCCUUAUUGACUGGCUCCUUAUCCAACUUUCCUCCCUCACCUUCCUCAGACACAACUACUAUCUUUCCAUCAUCAUUCAGGGAAACUAUGGGGAUUUGCAAAUGGGAGAAGGCAGCCACUGCUGAAAGCAAUGCAGCAUCAAAAAGAGCACCAUCAGCAUCCAAACAGUAUAUGUCAAGGUAUGCCAUCCACGCCGCUUUUCCACUGACCAAAGAUAGUUCCUUUAAAUUAAUCAUGCCAGAACUCAGUAUUGUGUCAGAUAACUGCUUGGACACAACUGGUGCAGCCUCGACAGGCCUACCAGGCCUAACAAUUGGAGAACAAAUUGGAGGCAUGUGGAAAUCAAUAGCUAUGCAGCCCUCGUCUGGUGAAUCGGUGGAAGGGCUCAUGACUUCCAUCUUUAUUGCAGCCAACAUGGUAGUUGAACCAAUCUUUGCCAGUGCUGACCCAUCAGCAGAUGCAACAGCCCCAAGAGCCAGUGUUGUAUCUCUAGCUCUUCCAAGUGGUCUGGCAUCAGGGCGAAUAGACUCUGAAAGAUGACGCUCGUAAAAGCGAAGAGGGAAAAGGCGUCUAAAAGCAUCAACCUCCAUCUCUGCUGAUAAGUCCCCAGAGACAUUUGGCAAUCCCAUUCUCCUCUAGCUCUUGAAUAAGCAGCUUUGCUCAAUGCAAAUGCAAAUUAAAGAACCUGGGUUUUGAUGAUUCUGAGUUUGAGUAGGUGAAUCUGGUAUAGUUUUCGUGAAGAAUAGAUGAAAUCGAGGCGAAGGGCCCCUGCCGAGUGCGAGCUCUAAGAGAGGCUUAGAGGAGUGCUAAAAUAGGUAACGAAUGCAGGAGAGGGAUAAUUAAAGAGUAGAGUUCUUCCUCUCCAUUCCGAUGUAUAAAAAAGAUAGGAAAAAUUUCAAUAUAAU
rnacentral:misc_RNA from 1 species